UUUGUCCGAUUGCGAACGUGUUUGUUUACAUUUCGGUGAAAAGUUGGUUGCAGGAGAGACCCAGAGACCCGGCACUGCUGUCUCCUGAAGACUAUUACUCUGCGUUACUCUGGGAUUGAGGAUGAAUUUGUAAGCCAGAGAAGUGCCAGUUAGUAAGAGGAGAGACAACUGUGUAACAUGGAGGGAAAUUCAGAAUCCCAAGACCUGUUGGUGCAGCAGGAACCAUCAGGUGGCAAUGUGAAUGAGGCUUCUGAUGUGUCAGAUGAUUGCCACGACAGUAGUGAACAGCUUUCCCUUAGCCCAGCUGGAUCUCCAAGUGAAGCCCCGCCGUCCUAUACGCCUGAGCCACAAGUGCCUGAUAUCCCCUCAUCAUCCGUCACACAUGAUGCCGCCAUCGACAACUGUACAUACAACGAUACCCCAGAAAGAGAAUACUGUGAUACCAACAAUGAAGUAGGAGACAGUUAUGGUGAUGGAGAAUGUGCCACAACCACCAAUUAUGGUUCGCGUGUGGGACAUAGUCGUGGUGCUAGCCAAGUUUCUUCUUGUGAGCCCUCAGUUUGCCGUAUGUCAGGUCGAGAUCUGUGCCACAGCCGAGGAGCCAGUACAGAUGGGUCAACUAUGGAGGCUUAUCCUUAUUCUGCUUCUGAAAGCCGGCGUGGCACGUAUAGCGAAGCAGGAACAUUGCCUAUUGGCUCAACAAUCAUUGAAGAAAAUAUGCAAGGCUGGGAUCGGGAAUCUGAGAAAAAGCUAUCGGAUAGUGAAGAAGUAGGAACGACUUACUCAAGAAAGCUGGUAUCCUUCUGUGAUUGCUGUCAGUCCAUUCUGCGCAGCCAACAUGAACUUAGAGAACAUCCAACAGCAUUGGAAUUGAUAAAAUAUGCCUUCACUUGCCCACCACAUGGAAAGGUCGGGAAUUGCCUGCUGUGGCUGUUAAUUGGCUUUGCCUUCUGGGGCUGCCUCAUCUCCAUCACUGGCGAAGAGGCUCUUCCAGGGGGCAACUUUUUCAGCCUCAUCGUCUUGUAUGUGUUUGCCAUGCUGGCUGGCGAAGCUGUUAAACAUUUGGGCCUUCCCUCUUUGCUGGGGAGUCUCGUGGUGGGCAUACUGUUCAGCAGUAUACCUGGCAUGGAUGUUAUUGGGAGUAAUAUAGAUCAUUCAUGGUCUGCUGCCUUGAGAAAAAUUGCUCUGGUGAUCAUUUUGAUAAGGGCUGGGCUUGGGUUGGAUCCAGUUGCCUUAAGAAAGCUCAGCUGCAUAGUUCUGAGACUGGCUUUCAUGCCCUGUAUGGUUGAGGCCUUGACUAUGGGUAUUGUUUCUAAGUUUUUACUUGACCUUCCAUGGAGCUGGAGUUUAAUGCUGGGUUUUGUUGUGGCUGCAGUGUCUCCAGCUGUAGUUGUGCCAUGCUUGCUGAAACUGGGCGAGGAUGGAUAUGGUGUAGAACAAGGGAUUCCAACACUUGUUAUUGCAGCAGCUAGUCUGGAUGAUGUGCUGGCUAUAACAGGUUUCAGUGUUAUGAUGGGAUUAACAUUUGCAAAGGGGUCAACAACAUGGACAGUGUUCAAAGGGCCAUUUGAAAUAUUCACAGGAAUAGUAUAUGGCAUUGUCUUUGGUAUUGUGUGUUGGUAUCUGCCAUACAGAGAAAAGAAGAAUAGGGCAAUAUACAAGCUCUUAUUGCUCUUUGGUCUUGGAGGUCUAGCCAUGUUUGGGAGUCACAAGGUUGGCCUUGAGAGCUCAGGAGCGAUUGCAGUGUUGACAGUGGCCUUUGUUGCUGGUUUAGGUUGGCGUAAACCAGGAAAUGAGGAUGCUGCUGUUGGUAAAUACUACCGCUUCUUAUGGGAGAUCUUCCAGCCAAUGCUUUUUUGCUUGAUUGGUGCAGAGAUUAAUGUCAUGGCCAUAGAGCCAAGCACUGUGGGAUGGGGUCUACUUGCGCUGGUGAUAGGACUGACCCUAAGAGUUGCUACCUCAUUCGUUGUUGUGAUGGGCGCCUCAUUUACUGUGUGGGAGAGAUUGUUUAUUGCUAUUGCUUGGCUUCCAAAGGCCACUGUGCAGGCUGCCAUAGGGUCUUUAGCCUUAGAUCACAUCCAGCAGUCUGGUAGCGAACCUGACCCUGAGGAUGUUACACGCGGGGUGAAGGGUUUCAUGUGGAGCUAUUUAUGUUGCUGAGAGGCUUCCAGAACUGCUUGGGUUGCCAGAUAUACUUGUUGAAAACAGAUAUUUGUUGCAGAGAUGAUCACUUCUGUUUGGUUUGUAGAGGUUGUUACUAUUGCAGUAAUGGUGAUUUUGGUGACAGCUCCUCUAGGGGCAGCUGCAAUCAAGCUAACAGGGCCCAAGUUCCUCGCUAGAAAACCCUCUUCCAACUCGCCGCAGGACUCAGAGACUACAGUUUAGGC
rnacentral:misc_RNA from 1 species